rnacentral:rRNA from 1 species
CGUAGGGUGCGAGCGUUAAUCGGAAUUACUGGGCGUAAAGCGUGCGCAGGCGGUUUUGUAAGCCAGAUGUGAAAUCCCCGGGCUUAACCUGGGAAUGGCAUUUGGGACUGCAAGGCUGGAGUUUGGCAGAGGAGACUGGAAUUCCUGGUGUAGCAGUGAAAUGCGUAGAUAUCAGGAGGAAUACCGAUGGCGAAGGCAGGCCUCUGGGCUAUAACUGACGCUCAUGCACGAAAGCGUGGGGAGCAAACAGGAUUAGAUACCCUGGUAGUCCACGCCCUAAACGAUGUCGACUGGUUGUUGGGGGUUUGACACUCUCAGUAACGAAGCUAACGCGUGAAGUCGACCGCCUGGGGAGUACGGCCGCAAGGUUA